UACGUAGGGACCGAGCGUUGUCCGGAAUCAUUGGGCGUAAAGAGCGUGUAGGCGGCUUGCUAAGUCUUGCGUGAAAUCUCGGGGCUCAACCCCGAGCGGUCGUGGGAAACUGGCAGGCUAGAGUGCGGGAGAGGAGAAUGGAAUUCCUGGUGUAGCGGUGAAAUUCGUAGAUAUUCGGAAGAACACCAGUGGCGAAGGCGACUCGCUGGACAAGUAUUGACGCUGAGGUGCGAAAGCGUGGGGAGCAAACAGG
rnacentral:rRNA from 1 species